AGUGUGCACCCUGAACUCGAGAAGCAGUCGGGAACCUUCCCUUGUGAGUGAGUUCAGAACUGAUAUUACAAAAAAUUAGGGUAAAUAGUAGACGAGCCUACACUCUUAGAAAACUGGUACUAAAUCAUUACCGACCGGAGUACAUAUGUGACUCUACCGGCACUGGUACUAACGGGAAUUACCGAUCAGUAAUGUUGCGGUAAUGAAAACUUUACCACUCAGGAACAAGUUACUACCAAUCCGGUAGGAAGUUGUUACCAAAUCAACACCAGCACGGAGUAUCUAUGUGACUCUACCAGAUUUUUAACAGUGUACACUCCAAGAAGUUGUAUUACCACGCGGUAUACAUUUGUGACUCUACCGUGCCGAUAGUCGCACCAUUACCGUAGGCCAAUCUUUACUUCGGCAAAAAAUGCACGCACACGAGGUAAAAAAACUGGUAUGUGGUAUGAGACUUAAUCCUGACUUGGAGGAAUUGAGGCACCAGGCUGGUAACUUUGGCUAGAACUCGGUAGAAGAAAUGGUAGUGGAGCUAAAUAUACUACGGCUAAUGGUAACAUCUAAUGUUACCAGACACCCGGUAAUACACGAUGUUAGGAUUAUAUUACCGGAUUUUUAAGAGUUUAGAAAACCUGAACAAAAUAUUUUUCUGCAAUGGAUUUUUAUAUUUUCAUGGAAGUAAUUCUGAACAAAAAUUGAAUUUAAUUUUUGAAAUCGGGCUAAAAUUCGAAAAGUUACAGCGCGUUUAAAAAUCCAGAUUUUGGCUUAAUUUUUUUCAAAUUUCGCCACGGGCGUAAACAUACCCAUUCAAGAAAACGAAAAAAUAAGGGUGGGCUUAUUUCGGAGCGUGAAUAAUUUAAAAUUAGUGUGGUCCACAUUGGCGAUAACUACCUCAAACCUCCUCCUUGUUAGAAGAUCAGUAAUUCAACAUUUUCAAAUCUUGCUUUCCAGGGCAAAAGGGAAAUUUUACGUUCAAACGCCAAAAUUAAAUAUGACUUGUGAAUGCAGUUUUGGUUUUGAUAAGAUCGUCGGUUCCAGUGGUUGAGAGGGGUCCGAUCCUGGAUGAAAAUCGUAUGCGGAAUUUGACAUAACUCUACACAAGUGGCGGAAACACGAAAAAGAAUUUUACACUUCGGAACUGAAUUCUGUUCAGGUCAAUUUUUAUUGAACACUCGACGACCGGUUUCGUAAUUCUUCAUCAGGUCGUGUGCUAAUACAAAUUAAAGUAUAAAUAAAUAAGACUAAUUAAAUUGAACAUGAAUGUAAUUAUAUAACAGCUAAGAAAUUAUUAUUUUACCCUAUUUAAUAUUAAGUAAAGUGAUUCAUAAAUCUCCAAUUUAAUCAUGAGUUGAACUAGAAAUGUAAAAACUGAUAAAAUAAAUCUGAAAUAAAUAUAUUAUAUUUUUGUACAACAAUUAGUGUUAUGGACGCUAUUACAAAUACGAAUUACUGAAUAGUUACCUGUGUAAGACCUGUGUAUUUAGAUCCAAUAAUUUGGGUAAACAAUGUUUAAAACUAAAAUGUUUAAAAUUAUGUAUGAGCAAGGAAUUUUAUAUUGAGUGUGGAGAGCUUUCACAGCCAACCGUGGAAUAUUUCCCUCCUGCUCAUCCACCACCACGCGUCGUUUAUUUACGAGGUAUAGUACUACCAAGUAUGCAAGUUUGAAUAUUUUUAACUUUACUAUAACUUGCAUGCAUAUGAAGUUUGUGCAAUACUUCUACAUACUCUUUGUGGUACUUUGUUCAGCUUGCAAGCGAAUAAAAUCAAUUGUUAAAUUACCUAA